CCUACGGUGUGCAGCCGUGGGGGAUAUUGCACAAUGGGGGAAACCCUGAUGCCGCGACGCCGCGUGUAGGAAGACGGUCCUCUGGCUUGUAAACUACUGUCCCCAGGGACGAAGCUGACGGUACCUGGGGCGGAAGCUCCGGCUAACUACGUGCCAGCAGCCGCGGUAAUACGUAGGGAGCGAGCGUUGUACGGAAUUAGUGGGGGUAAAGGGGGCGUGGGCGGGGAUGCAAGUUGGGUGUUAAAUCUCACGGCUCAACUGGUAGUCGCACUCAAAACUGCAGCUCUUGAGUGAAGUAGAGGCAGGCGGAAGGCCUAGUGUAGCGGUGAAAUGCGUAGAUAUUAGGAGGAACACCAGUGGCGAAGGCGGCCUGCUGGGCGUUUACUGACGCUGAGGCUCGAAAGUGUGGGGAGCAAACAGGAUUAGAUACCCGAGUAGUC
rnacentral:rRNA from 1 species